rnacentral:tRNA from 1 species
GGAGAGAUGGCCGAGCGGCUAAAGGCGACAGACUGUAAAUCUGUUCCCGGACGGGUACGGUGGUUCGAAUCCACCUCUCUCCACCA